GUAAAGCAAAGAUGGUGAUCAGUUGGUGGUGACAGCAAUACUUAAGGUACAAAAGUUGCUUUCAGUAUUUCUUUUUUACAAGACUUUUCAAUUUUGACUGAACAUUUCCAACCUUUUAGCAGUUCACUACAGAUGAGGAGGAAUUCUAAAAGCAAAGAGACCCCUUGUUUAUACCCUCUGCAAGACCCUUCCAUGUGUUCUAUCCUUCAUUCCACCGGAGUCUGUGUCUAUCUCCAAGCAGAUUUCAGUGGUGUGAAGUGUAAGAGGCAUGGAGCUAAAACUUCAGAGCUACAGUUUGGGUUGAAGGCCCUGACUCAUACACAGCUGUGAGUCUGUGAUGUACACUGUGUUGACUUGGCAAUGGAUGAAGAUAUUUUCCAGGGAGCCCAAUGAUUGCAUAUCCAUAAUAAAUGGAAACAUCUGCUAUAUGGUUAACUUUAAAAUAUAUAUGUUCAUGUGUUCAGUCCUAGUUCUCACUUGUGAGACUUUUGUUUCAAUGAAACAAUUAUCUUUUCAUUCUAAUGUAACUGUAAAUAAAGGAUUUGAGGACUUCCUCACGCAA